AGUUAAACAGUACGUGAAAUUGUUGAAAGGGAAACGAUUGAAGUCAGUCAUACUAACGGGAAAUCAACCUCUUGAGUUUGGUCUCGUGGGUUUCGAAGAGUUUAAAAGCCUUCGGAUUUUUGAGAUUGGGCUCUUCUGGUGUACUUUCUCGUACGGUUAGUCAACAUCGGUUUUGAAUGUCAUAAAAUGACUGGAGGAAUGUGGCUUCGAUCUCGUAUUGAAGUGUUAUAACCUUUGGUAGAUGUGAUGUUUGAGACCGAGGAUUGCAACGGAUACCCUUCUGGGCUAUUCGUCUGAUCUCUGAAACGUUGCCUUGAUGUCGAAAGCUUGCUUAUGAUGUUUAGGGUAUUACGGUCAAAAGGUUAGAACGGAUUAAAUUCGUUAAGGAUGUUGACGUAAUGACUUUAAA
rnacentral:misc_RNA from 1 species